AUUGAACGCUGGCGGCAUGCUUUACACAUGCAAGUCGAACGGUAACAGCACUUCGGUGGCUGACGAGUGGCGCACGGGUGAGUAAUACAUCUGAACGUGCCUCGUAGUGGGGGAUAACUCCUCGAAAGAGUAGCUAAUACCGCAUGAGAUCUAAGGAUGAAAGCAGGGGACCUUCUGGCCUUGCGCUACUAGAGCGGCUGAUGGCAGAUUAGGUAGUUGGUGGGAUAAAAGCUUACCAAGCCGACGAUCUGUAGCUGGUCUGAGAGGACGACCAGCCACACUGGGACUGAGACACGGCCCAGACUCCUACGGGAGGCAGCAGUGGGGAAUUUUGGACAAUGGGCGCAAGCCUGAUCCAGCAAUGCCGCGUGCAGGAUGAAGGCCUUCGGGUUGUAAACUGCUUUUGUACGGAACGAAAAGCCCUCUUCUAAUACAGGAGGGUCAUGACGGUACCGUAAGAAUAAGCACCGGCUAACUACGUG
rnacentral:rRNA from 1 species